rnacentral:tRNA from 1 species
GCGGGUGGGGCACGGUGCGCGUACGUGAUCUUCCAAACCAGCUAGGCGGGUUCGAUUCCCGUCACCCGCUCCA